rnacentral:lncRNA from 1 species
AAAUUCAAAAAACUUGUGUGAACCCAGCCAGUUAAUUCAAUUUUAUCUGAUAACUUCUGUCAGCCCUUACAGGAAGUCCCUUCUGGCUCCACGGAGAGAAGAGGCUCAGCACCUCUCAGCAUGGUGGCGGGCCCAGUCACCCCCCGACAGGGCUGGUCCCCCAGUCCACGAGGCCAGCCUCCCCGCCUCUGAUCCAGAAGGCUCCCAUCCAGUCAGCCGCAGCCAGCCUCAGGCUCCUCCCUUCCAGCUCACUCUCUCGCAUAAUCACUAGGUGAGGUCAUGUGUUUAGGAUUCCACUGCUCCGUCACCAUGGAGAUGAAAAGAUGUCCAGGCACUGGCUAGAAGCCUCCUGGGCAGGACAGAACGAAGGGAGGAAUAGAAGGGAAGAGACCCUGAGGUCACCCUCGGCCACACUGUCCCAAGUGUCAGAUCUGUCUGGAAAUGGUGGAAGCAUUGAAGAGCAUUGCGAGAUUUCAGAAAUGCAGCGGGAUGAAAGGCUGUCUGCCUACAAGAGAGUGAAGAGAGCAAAGAUGGAAAGAUCCAGGUCUCAC